UGGGUAGUGUUCGUGGACUGUUGUUUGUUUCUGAAUCUUUACUUUUAUGGGUAGUUUUCGUGGACUGUUGUUUGUUUCUGAAUCUUUACUCUUCUAGGUAGUGUUCGUGGACUGUUGUUUGUUUCUGAAUCUUUACUUUUAUGGGUAGUGUUUGUGCAGUUUUUUGUUUCUGAAUCUUUACUUUUAUGGGUAGUGUUCGUGGACUGUUUUUUUUUUGUUUUUGUUUCUGAAUCUUUACUUUUCUAGGUAGUGUUUGUGGGCUGUUGUUUGUUUCUGAAUCUUUGCUUUUCUGUGUAGUGUUUGUUGACUGUUUUUUUUUUUUUUUUUUUGGUUUCUGAAUCUUUACUUUGGUGGGUAGUGUUUGUGGACUGUUGUUUGUUUCUGAAUCUUUACUUUUCUGUGUAGUGUUUGUCGACUGUUUUUUUUUUUUUUUUCUGUUUCUGAAUCUUUAUUUUCAUGGGUAGUGUUUGUCGACUGUUUUUUUAUUAUUUUUUUUUGUUUCUGUUUCUGAAUCUUUACUUUUAUGGGUAAUGUUUGUCGACUGUUGUUUGUUUCUGAAUCUUUACUUUUCUAGGUAGUGUUUGUCGACUGUUGUUAGUUGUUGGAUCUUAGUUUUAUGAGUUGUGUUUGUAGACUGUUGUUUGUUGUUGAACCUUACUUUUCUGGGUAGUGUUUGUGGACUGUUGUUUGUUUCUAAAUCUUUACUUUUCUGUGUAGUGUUUGUGAACUGUUGUUUUUUUAUAUCUUAUUUUUUUCUUUUCUAAAUGGGUUCACAGGUGUAUGUCUUUCAUCGCCUUUUGAUUCUGGUUUAUAUUUUUUUCGAAUGAAUUAGUUUAACAAUAUUUUACAGAUCAAAUAAUUAUCAAAGGUACCAUGAAUAUAAUUUAAUAUGCCAGACGAGCGUUUCGUCGACAUAAGACUCAUCA
rnacentral:lncRNA from 1 species